UCGGGUGUCAAAUAGGAAGAAUAUUUAAGAGAUGAUUUUUUUUAAUUACGUGUCUUCUCUCAUAGUUCAGAGCCAGCAGCUUCUUUUAACCUUUUUUCCCCUCACGAUCAUUGAGCAUUUGCUGGAUCUGGUACUCACGUGUGAACUCCUCUAACAGGCCACACAAGACUGCCUGGGUAUAUGGUGCGGGCCCCAUGGAAUAAGUUAGAAACAUCCUUCCCAGGGAGAUUUCUCAAGUCCUGUGGAAGCAUGCUUCAGUCAGACGGAGUCAGUGCUCUGCUCAACCAGUCACAAGAGCAGAGAAUCGGUCACUUCUUUCCAAAUAUGACUUUUUACAUAUUCCAAAGACAGCUCACCACUGAUGCUGGCCUGAAGACAGUGUUACUUCGUUACCCAACUCAUGACUGACUCUCAGCUAAUCAAGCCAAUCAUAGAUACCUGGGUGAGCCCAGCUGAUAUUAGCAGAGCCUAGCUUGGGUGGACAGGAUGGCCCCUAAGCCCAGCAAACACUAUAGAUCCUCAAAUUUGUGAGCUAAAAAAGAAUUUUGUUUUUGGUGGGGGUGGUAUUUGUGUGGGGUUGUUUUCUUUGUAAGCCAUUUGGCUUUGGGGUGGCUUGUUAUAUAUCAAAAGCCUUCUAAUGCUGGUAUUUCCCAAGGGUUUUUUUCCCCCUAGGCCCUGGUACUACUGGUGUGAGCAUGUGUGUUAUGGGUUUUAGGGUCAGUUUUCUUACACUGAGAGAACACAACUAGGACAUGACAUUGAUUACCAGUUUUGGAUUUUUGUGCCUGGAAAGCACAAGCGUUGGAGUUAAUUAAAUGUGUGUGUGCAUGCAUGCAUGUGCACAUGUGUGUGUGUGUACACACAUAUAUAAUAAAAAUAUUAUUCACUCAAAUGAAACUCACAGUGCCUUCUCGCAAUAAAAGUGUGUUUCUCUCCCA
ensembl:lincRNA Gm16701 predicted gene, 16701